GGACUUUCUCAUCUUUUGCAAAGUAGGCAGCGUUCUUGAGCUCAAGAGAGAGGCCGUUUUUGACUGCCAUGUUGUUGAAUUCUUCCGCAAGAUGUUGAAUGACGGUGUAAAAUAUUUUUUGCUAGGUCAUAUUACCACUACAUGCCAAACGAAAUGGAUUACCCAGUUUAUCCAGAAGCUAAGGCCCUCUGGUGGUUUAGCAUGACGUUUCUUCUUUCUGACUGGGAGAAGGAAGAAUUGUGCAUGAUUGCAGAGAAAUUUGUAUGUGCUUUGCUACGUAAAGCAGUUUGGUGUGAUCUCCAUAUUCACAUGCACACUUGGCGGUCUCAUCUACUUUGGAAAGCUGGAAGAGAUGAUGCCACUUCUUUAUUUUCUAAGACACUUGGUCAGCCUCAUUUCUAAUUCUAUCAGAUGUAUCAGCUGAACUGAGCCACUUCACUGAAUAUAUUGGCGGCCCAUGAGGCUCCUAGCCAUUUUUUUCUGAAGAUACAUGUCACUUGAGGUUUGGAUGGAGUACGGGCAACAAUAUCUUAACUUUAGGAUCACUCUCUGUGUUCCUAAAGUCACAUACUUCCAUUUUUUUGCCUAUGGUCAUUGUCAAAAUACUCUUUUGGUUAGCCUGUUAGAUAAAACGUGGUGGGUAAUACUUGUGUGGCAACAAUUAUUAUGUUCCCAUGAAAUUAACCCUUUUUUUCUUUGUU